rnacentral:misc_RNA from 1 species
UUGGCUACGCGAGCGCAUGAGUUGUKYUGGACCUGUGACUGCYGRGAGGWCCCCCGCYRUUGUGCGGCCGACUGCCGGCGCCUGUGUCCCUUCAAUYGUUGGCUAUUGUGGGCCACUGUUUUGACGAGUGCUUGCGUGCUGCUACCAGUCACCUGGAAGUUGCAUUCRCAAAAAUGUUGCCUUCGUCGUGCCYGUCCCUAGGRCGUGGCACGCCGACUCAAAAGCRUUCAGGUYGUUGCCUCGUGUAGCCAGCCRYCUAGGCURGCWUCAUCAAGGCCACCUCAUGUAYGCUCUUGGUCCCGGAUGCGGCUUACAAUAAAGGCYGGAGGCGNUGAGGCGCCACGUGCCUAGUGAAAAUUGUUCGAACGGAAACAACGACAGUCGUCCCGGCUGAUGCCUCGUGCGGAAGUCGGAUUCGGCUCGUCGA